GCUUGUCUCAAAGAUUAAGCCAUGCAUGUCUAAGUACAAGCCUCAGUAAGGUGAAACCGCGAAUGGCUCAUUAUAUCAGUUAUAGUUUAUUUGAUGGUCCUUGCUACUUGGAUAACCGUAGUAAUUCUAGAGCUAAUACAUGCAUUAAACCCCGACUUCUGGAAGGGGUGUAUUUAUUAGAUGGAAACCAAUGCGGGGUAACCCGGAAUAUGGUGAUUCAUAAUAACUUUCGGAUCGAUUUAUCGAUGCAUCAUUCAAGUUUCUGCCCUAUCAGCUUUGGAUGGUAGGGUAUUGGCCUACCAUGGCUUUAACGGGUAACGGAGAAUUAGGGUUCGAUUCCGGAGAGGGAGCCUGAGAAAUGGCUACCACAUCCAAGGAAGGCAGCAGG
rnacentral:rRNA from 1 species